GACGAACGCUGGCGGCGUGCCUAAUACAUGCAAGUCAAGCGAGUCUGCCUUGAAGAUCGGAGUGCUUGCACUCUGUGAAACAAGAUACAGGCUAGCGGCGGACGGGUGAGUAACACGUGGGUAACCUGCCCAAGAGAUCGGGAUAACACCUGGAAACAGAUGCUAAUACCGGAUAACAACAGAUGAUGCCUAUCAACUGUUUAAAAGAUGGUUCUGCUAUCACUCUUGGAUGGACCUGCGGUGCAUUAGCUAGUUGGUAGGGUAACGGCCUACCAAGGCGAUGAUGCAUAGCCGAGUUGAGAGACUGAUCGGCCACAUUGGGACUGAGACACGGCCCAAACUCCUACGGGAGGCAGCAGUAGGGAAUCUUCCACAAUGGACGCAAGUCUGAUGGAGCAACGCCGCGUGAGUGAAGAAGGGUUUCGGCUCGUAAAGCUCUGUUGUUGGCGAAGAAGGACAGGGGUAGUAACUGACCUUUGUUUGACGGUAAUCAAUUAGAAAGUCACGGCUAACUACGUG
rnacentral:rRNA from 1 species